rnacentral:tRNA from 1 species
CCGUCCAUAGCUCAGUUGGUAGAGCGCGUGACUGUAGAUCAUGAUGUCCCUGGUUCGACUCCGGGUGGACGGA